rnacentral:rRNA from 1 species
UUAGAGUUUGAUCCCUGGCUCAGGAUGAACGCUAGCGGCAGGCUUAACACAUGCAAGUCGAGGGGUAUAGUUCUUCGGAAUUAGAGACCGGCGCACGGGUGCGUAACGCGUAUGCAAUCUACCUUUUACAGAGGGAUAGCCCAGAGAAAUUUGGAUUAAUACCUCAUAGUAUUAUGAAAUGGCAUCAUUUUAUAAUUAAAGUCACAACGGUAAAAGAUGAGCAUGCGUCCCAUUAGCUAGUUGGUAAGGUAACGGCUUACCAAGGCUACGAUGGGUAGGGGUCCUGAGAGGGAGAUCCCCCACACUGGUACUGAGACACGGACCAGACUCCUACGGGAGGCAGCAGUGAGGAAUAUUGGACAAUGGGCGCAAGCCUGAUCCAGCCAUGCCGGGUGCAGGAUGACGGUCCUAUGGAUUGUAAACUGCUUUUAUACGAGAAGAAACACUACUUCGUGAAGUAGCUUGACGGUAUCGUAAGAAUAAGGAUCGGCUAACUCCGUGCCAGCAGCCGCGGUAAUACGGAGGAUCCAAGCGUUAUCCGGAAUCAUUGGGUUUAAAGGGUCCGUAGGCGGUUUAAUAAGUCAGUGGUGAAAGCCCAUCGCUCAACGGUGGAACGGCCAUUGAUACUGUUAAACUUGAAUUAUUAGGAAGUAACUAGAAUAUGUAGUGUAGCGGUGAAAUGCUUAGAGAUUUCAUGGAAUACCAAUUGCGAAGGCAGGUUACUACUAAUGUAUUGACGCUGAUGGACGAAAGCGUGGGUAGCGAACAGGAUUAGAUACCCUGGUAGUCCACGCCGUAAACGAUGGAUACUAGCUGUUGGGAGCAAUCUUGGCUAAGCGAAAGUGAUAAGUAUCCCACCUGGGGAGUACGUUCGCAAGAAUGAAACUCAAAGGAAUUGACGGGGGCCCGCACAAGCGGUGGAGCAUGUGGUUUAAUUCGAUGAUACGCGAGGAACCUUACCAAGGCUUAAAUGUAGAUUGACCGGUUUGGAAACAGAUCUUUCGCAAGACAAUUUACAAGGUGCUGCAUGGUUGUCGUCAGCUCGUGCCGUGAGGUGUCAGGUUAAGUCCUAUAACGAGCGCAACCCCUGUUGUUAGUUGCCAGCGAGUCAUGUCGGGAACUCUAACAAGACUGCCAGUGCAAACUGUGAGGAAGGUGGGGAUGACGUCAAAUCAUCACGGCCCUUACGCCUUGGGCUACACACGUGCUACAAUGGCCGGUACAGAGAGCAGCCACUGGGCGACCAGGAGCGAAUCUAUAAAACCGGUCACAGUUCGGAUCGGAGUCUGCAACUCGACUCCGUGAAGCUGGAAUCGCUAGUAAUCGGAUAUCAGCCAUGAUCCGGUGAAUACGUUCCCGGGCCUUGUACACACCGCCCGUCAAGCCAUGGAAGCUGGGGGUGCCUGAAGUCGGUGACCGCAAGGAGCUGCCUAGGGUAAAACUGGUAACUAGGGCUAAGUCGUAACAAGGUAGCC